GCUUACGGCCAUAACACCCUCUCUGCGCCAGAUCUCGUCUGAUCUCGGAAGCUAAGCAGGGUCGGUCCUGGUUUGUUCUUGGAUGAGAGACCUCCUGGGAAUACCAGGUGCUGUAAGCU
rnacentral:rRNA from 1 species